GUGUCAGCAGCCGCGGUAAGACGAACCGUGCAAACGUUAUUCGGAAUCACUGGGCUUAAAGGGCGCGUAGGCGGGUGAUCAAGUCAAUGGUGAAAUCCUCCAGCUUAACUGGAGAAGUGCCUUUGAUACUGAUUGUCUAGAGGGAGGUAGGGGCAUGUGGAACUUCAGGUGGAGCGGUGAAAUGCGUAGAUAUCUGAAGGAACGCCAGUGGCGAAAGCGAUGUGCUGGACCUCUUCUGACGCUGAGGCGCGAAAGCUAGGGGAUCAAACGGGAUUAGAUACCCCGGUAGUCCUAGCCCUAAACUAUGGGUACUAGAUUGUGGACUUUCAUGGGUUCACAGUCGAAGCAAAAGUGUUAAGUACCCCGCCUGGGGAGUAUGGUCGCAAGGCUGAAACUCAAAUGAAUUGACGGGG
rnacentral:rRNA from 1 species